UUUUCUACCAUGUCAUAUUGCCCUUCAUGAGACGGGGUUGGCAAAAGAAACAACAGGUAGUUAAUGGAAGGAGUACAAAGCUGUGCUCUGCUGGCUCAGGGAGAAGGGAAAAUAGAAUUUAUCUGGGGCUUUCCUGAGCCAGAAGCCAUGGUCUACAGACUUUACAGAGUUUUAAAAGUCUGGAUUAUGAGGCAACUCUGGUGGUUCUUAAUGGGAAGAAAAGAAGAUUCAGAGUGUGCAGAGAUCAGAAUUGUCAUGGGAACAAACCUGUCUGAAGAGGAACAGGGUGGAAGAUCCAUGGGUACAGCUAUUAAGUGUUCUGUAUGUCUUAGUAAUAAGCCCUCUGCCUCCUUUUUCCUGUAUUCUUUCUUUCUUUCUUUCUCUCUUUCUUUCUUUCUUUCUUUCUUUCUUUCUUUCUUUCUUUCUUUCUUUCUUUCUUUCCUUCCUUCCUUCCUUCCUUCCUUCCUUCCUUCCUUCUUUCUUUCUUUCUUUCCUUUCUUUCUUUCUCUUUCUCUUUCUUUCUUUUUUAUAUAUAUAGAGAGAGUGCGAGGGAGAGUGGAGGGGAGGGGCAGAGGGAAAGAGAGAAUCAUAAACAGGAUCAGGGCUCAGUGUGGAGCCUGA
rnacentral:lncRNA from 12 species